rnacentral:rRNA from 1 species
AUGAUCUGUUGUAAGGGUACUAAUUGGUCUCUUCUGCUGCUUAUCAGAGAUGGGGGGAAGCAGCCACCGCCGCUCUGCGACACCGGAGUACGAGUUGGAUGCUUCCGAGUUCUUCAGUAUCAUACUUGGGACUUCAGUAUCAGCCAUGACGUAGGUGAAGAUCUGCCAAAUAAUGUGAAGCUGCGACAGGCCGGUAGCGGGUUUCGCAGGCAGUGGGAUGUGGAGUUGUUGAUCAAGGAGGGCCACAUGUACUUGUCUCGUGGGUGGGAGAAGUUCUACCGUGCCUACGACCUGCGGCUGGGGUACUUCCUUCUCUUCAGGUACGACGACGACGCCACCAUGCUCAUCAUGAAGGUGUUCAACGCGACUAUGUGUCGCAUGCGCUACACUGACGAUGAUGAUGCCGGUAAUGGGAGCAGCAGCAGCGACACUGGCUACAGCGAAAGCAGCAACGACUAUGGCUAUAGUAAAAGCAACACCGAUUCUGGCUUUAGUGAAAGCAGCAGCAAUUCUGGCAGCAGCAUAGACAACAAGAAGGAUGAUCCGGACAGGAGUGCGGGAGAAGAGGAGCAGAGUGGGGAUGAGGAGCUGCAGGAUGACGGUGGGCAUUAG